ACUUCCGCCUGGGUGACAGAGUGAGACUCCGUCUUAAAAAAGAAAAAAGAAAAAAAAAAAUCGAAAACAGCAGGAAAAGAAUUGAAUUGGACAAGGGUCGGGUGGAUAACUUAGCUUUCAAUAGCGACACCUAGUGGCAGUGAUCAGCAGUAGCUGAAAAGAAUUGAAUUCCUGACAGCCUGAGGUUUUUUUUGUUCUCUUUUUUCUUUUUUUUCUCCCCUCAGGAGUAGUAUCCAGGACCCACCCAUUUUGUACUGAAUAAACAUCCCUAAUGGUGCUUGGAGUCAUCUGAGGAGGGAGGUCCCCAGAGAGGGGGAAAAAACCAUUUUCCUGGUGGACUGGAUGUGAGCCCAGGGUUUAAAUUGAGUCAGAAGGAUAAACUGAAUUCAUCUUCAGAGUUGAAUUGCUCUUCUGGUAAUCUGGAGGGUUGGGUUCUCCCCUGACCUGAAUUUUCCGAGGAGCGAUUUGUGCUGUUACACACAUUUCUUUUGCUAUACGAACUCAGACGGAGGUCAGAAUGAACUCUGGCCAACAGGGUCUCAAAACGAAAAGAAGACGAAUAAAGUUCAUGGGUUAGACUUGCAAAUCAAUUUUCCAGUUGGAUUCUGAUACAAAUAAAGCAUGAAGAAAAGAGCGAGUAAAUUUCUAGAUUUGCAGUAGUUUGGAUUUGUGUUUGUGAAAAUAUAAUUAUAUCCUAUUCUAACCUGGUAUGUAGUUUUAUAUUAGCUUUAUUCUUGGCAUGUUUAAUAUACAGGGAAAUAUUUGUUCUUCCCUUUGGAAACUGUGCAUUGUCUAGGCUCUAUAGGACACCCCUCUGAGGGUUAUCUGAUUUCGAGUAUGUGGAAGCCAUUUUGUAACUCUGUACAUUGUAGAUUAUUGGUAUUGGUAGCAACGCAGAAUACUUCUUAUCUAUGGACAAGCAAAUUCUGUCCUGUAUAGUAGAGGUUCAACUGGCUUCCUUCUUCCACAGAGGAAGAGGACAGUUUUACUUCCAUCUGAACAGUCAUUUCAAUAUUCCUGAUCUGUAAAUAUGUCUGUUUUUCAACUUCUCCCUUAAACUGCUUACAAUCUCUGUACCAGUUUCCCCAUUAAUAUACAGUUUAAUUUUUACAUAUGAAUUUAUGUUGUGAUUCUAUCCUACUUUGAAAAUUAUCUUUUAAAAAUGGUAAUUUUUGAAAGUAUCAAAAUAAUUAUAAAGUUCUUACCUACUACUUCUAUUUUAUAUUGCCUCACUAUAUAUACAUAUAUACACACACAUAUGUACACACACACACAUAUACACACAUAUAUAUACACACUAUACACACACACAC
rnacentral:lncRNA from 1 species